rnacentral:rRNA from 1 species
GACGAACGCUGGCGGCGUGCUUAACACAUGCAAGUCGAACGAAGAGCGACGGAAGCUUGCUUCUAUCAAUCUUAGCGGCGAACGGGUGAGUAACGCGUAAUCAACCUGCCCUUCAGAGGGGGACAACAGUUGGAAACGACUGCUAAUACCGCAUACGAUCUAAUCUCGGCAUCGAGGAUGGAUGAAAGGUGGCCUCUACAUGUAAGCUAUCACUGAAGGAGGGGAUUGCGUCUGAUUAGCUAGUUGGAGGGGUAACGGCCCACCAAGGCGAUGAUCAGUAGCCGGUCUGAGAGGAUGAACGGCCACAUUGGGACUGAGACACGGCCCAGACUCCUACGGGAGGCAGCAGUGGGGAAUCUUCCGCAAUAGACGAAAGUCUGACGGAGCAACGCCGCGUGAGUGAUGACGGCCUUCGGGUUGUAAAGCUCUGUUAAUCGGGACGAAAGGCCUUCUUGCGAAUAGUGAGAAGGAUUGACGGUACCGGAAUAGAAAGCCACGGCUAACUACGUG